rnacentral:rRNA from 1 species
AUGCCACUGAGCUGGUCGAGGCAGAGGCACCUGCUGCCGACGACGGCCCUGAGGAGGUUGCUCCGAUCUGAUCUGGACGAGCUGCUUCUGCUCCUUCAGGUGGAUGACGAGGUGCUCUGCCUCUCCAUGGGCUCGUUCACCAUUCGUUCAACUUCAGAGCUCAUCAGGUCUGUUCUUGCCCUGACCAAGCUAUUCAAGUAUGUUAGGUUUGCAAUAAUAUUUAGUAUUGGUUUGGCUCUUGCAAUGCAUAGGCACAGCAGGAUAUACUCCUGUCUGCUACUAAUUGUCAUGGAGAAGAAACAAAGAUGGAAACGCACCUGCUACGACGCUGACCCGUCCGUCGUCAUCGCCUUCCAUGACGACGAGGACACCGCAGGCGUCGUCGGCCUCGGCGGCGGCUUCCACCACUACCACAUCGUCAUCACCUACCAGGGUUGA